UGAGGACAGUGUAUCUGCCGCUCUUCUUUCAUCUCCUGAUGCAGUGUCAUGGGUCCACUCAUUUUCCUCACCUCAAGAAAGGGGAGGACGUAACUCUGUCCUGUAAAACAUGUCAAUGGGAGGUUGACAUAAAUUCAGACAACACAGUAGAUUGUAAAAUACAACAGAGCAAUUUCUCACAAAUGCCACAAAUCUGCCACGCCAUUAAAAAGAUUGAUUCUAAAGGCUGUCAGAUCAUUGUCAAAAGUGGGAUCUUUGCCUGUGUGAGUAACUUCUCUACUACAGAUGUCUCUCUUUAUCCAUUCAAACCUUCCUCUCAUCACAUGGAGUCCUACAUCAUUUCUCAAGCAGAAUCCGAGGUGCUGUCUGAAUCUACCAAUGAGAGUGCAGUGCGUGUGUCUACAGGAGGACUGAUUGAUCUCACAUGCACUUCUCAAGCAAAGGGGCAUUCCAAAUACCCCUUUGUGGUGUACUGGAUCAAACUCAGUCAUAACAGCAGCAUAUGCUUUACAAUUCACUAUCAGAUUAUGGGCUGCAUAAACACUGUGCUGCUGACAGUGGUGUGUUGAUUCAGAUAUCAAACACAACGCAACGUGUUGAAGCUUGCAAGAACCAUAAUCUGAUGAUCAGCGAUGCCACUCACUCCAUCAGUGGACAGUAUCUGUGUAUAUUACAAGUUUAUAUCAAUGCUAAUCAGAACUGGAAAUUACUCACCAACACUACAGUCAAUGUGGAGGAUCCAACUGGUGAUAAUAUUAACUUAAUAACUUCUA